rnacentral:hammerhead_ribozyme from 1 species
AUCCAGCUGACGCGUCCCAAAUAGGACGAAACGCGCGUCAAAGUGGAU